UGAGUACGAGAUGCUACGGCAUCGAAGCAGUCUAUGUCAUACUUCCAAGAAAAGCUUGCACUGUCAUAAACAAAGAAUGCCUGUACCAUAACCGACACAGGUGGGUAGGUAGAGUAUACUAAGGGGCGCGAGAUAACUCUCUCUAAGGAACUCGGCAAAAUGACUCCGUAACUUCGGGAGAAGGAGUGCCUUAUUUCUAAGGUUGCAAUAACAAGAUCCAAGCAACUGUUUACCAAAAACACAGGUCUCCGCUAAGUCGUAAGACGAUGUAUGGGGGCUGACGCCUGCCCAGUGCCAGAAGGUUAAAGAAGUUGGUUAGCAUUAGCGAAGCUGAUAACUGAAGCCCUGGUGAACGGCGGCCGUAACUAUAACGGUCCUAAGGUAGCGAAAUUCCUUGUCGGGUAAGUUCCGACCCGCACGAAAGGCGUAAUGAUUUGGAUACUGUCUCGGAGAGGGGCUCGGUGAAAUAGACUUGUCUGUGAAGAUGCGGACUACCUGCACCUGGACAGAAAGACCCUAUGAAGCUUUACUGUAACUUGAGAUUGAAAUUGGACUUUAUUUGCGCAGUAUAGGUGGGAGGCGUUGAGAAUAAUCUUGCGGGAUUGUUGGAGCCAUCAGUGAGAUACCACUCUUGUAAUGUUAGAUUUCUAACUUUGUAUCAUUAUCUGGUCAAAGAACAGUUUCAGGCGGGCAGUUUGACUGGGGCGGUCGCCUCCCAAAGGGUAACGGAGGCGCACAAAGGUUUCCUCUGAACGGGUAGAAAUCGUAUCUAGAGUGUAAAGGCAUAAGGAAGCUUGACUGUGAGACCUACAAGUCGAGCAGGGACGAAAGUCGGUCUUAGUGAUCUGACGGUGCUGAGUGGAAAGGCCGUCACUCAACGGAUAAAAGUUACUCUAGGAUAACAGGCUGAUCUCCCCCAAGAGUUCACAUCGACGGGGAGGUUUGGCACCUCGAUGUCGGCUCAUCGCAUCCUGGGGCGGUAGUCCGUCCCAAGGGUUGGGCUGUUCGCCCAUGAAAGCGGUACGCGAGCUGGGUUCAGAACGUCGUGAGACAGUUCGGUCCAUAUCCGGUGUAGGCGUUAGAAUAUUGAGAGGAGCCUUCUCUAGUACGAGAGGACCGAGAAGGACAUACCUCUGGUGUACCAGUUAUCGUGCCAACGGUAAACGCUGGGUAGCUAUGUAUGGAGUGGAUAACCGCUGAAAGCAUCUAAGUGGGAAGCCCACCUCAAGAUAAGUAUUCUCAC
rnacentral:rRNA from 1 species